UGUCAAACGCGUUUAUGCCAUAUCUAAUCGAGCCUAAAUAAGGUGUCGUUGGCAAGACCAACGACACGUUAUUUAUAGCCCAUUUCGUGUAACCAUCGAUUUUGUUCUGAGUAUUGAGCAGGAUGAUACGACGAUGGUUCUGAGGUGGUGGCUUAGGUGAUCCCAUUAAGGCAAAAAUUUUGUUAGAAAAUGACUUACUAUGGUUAUAAUCAUUCCAAAGGGGUGCUAUAGGUGGUGGUAAAGUUGGAAAUUUGGAUGCAGAAUUUGGAAGAUAGUUUAAUAAGGUGAGGCCUU
rnacentral:lncRNA from 1 species